rnacentral:rRNA from 1 species
UGCGUAGGCGGUCUUUUAAGUCAGGAGUGAAAGGCUACGGCUCAACCGUAGUAAGCUCUUGAAACUGGAGGACUUGAGUGCAGGAGAGGAGAGUGGAAUUCCUAGUGUAGCGGUGAAAUGCGUAGAUAUUAGGAGGAACACCAGUGGCGAAGGCGGCUUACUGGACGGUAACUGACGUUGAGGCUCGAAAGCGUGGGGAGCAAACA